rnacentral:lncRNA from 1 species
GGAGAGGAAGAGAAGAGCACGAAAUUUUGUGCUCUGAAAGAGCUCUAAAAUCAAAAGUUUAAUUUUUAAAUGAUCAAAGUUGAAAAAAUGCACACACAUGACCACUAUUUAUAGCCUAAGCAUCACACAAAAUUGGAGGGAAAUUUGAAUUUCAAUUCAAAUUUCACUUGAAUUUGAAAUUGAAUUUGUGGAGCCAAAUUUUAGAGCCAAAAUUUUACUUAUUAUGAUUAGUGAAUUUUAGU